rnacentral:rRNA from 1 species
GAGGGGUAGAACACUUCGGUGUUUGAGACCGGCGCACGGGUGCGUAACGCGUAUGCAAUCUACCUUUUACAGGGGAAUAGCCCAGAGAAAUUUGGAUUAAUGCCCCAUGGUAUAAUUGAAUGGCAUCAUUUGAUUAUUAAAGUUCCAACGGUAAAAGAUGAGCAUGCGUCCCAUUAGUUAGUUGGUAAGGUAACGGCUUACCAAGACGAUGAUGGGUAGGGGUCCUGAGAGGGAGAUCCCCCACACUGGUACUGAGACACGGACCAGACUCCUACGGGAGGCAGCAGUGAGGAAUAUUGGACAAUGGGCGCGAGCCUGAUCCAGCCAUGCCGCGUGCAGGAAGAAGCAUCUAUGGUGUGUAAACUGCUUUUGUACGGGAAGAAACACUCCCUCGUGAGGGAGCUUGACGGUACCGUAAGAAUAAGGAUCGGCUAACUCCGUGCCAGCAGCCGCGGUAAUACGGAGGAUCCAAGCGUUAUCCGGAAUCAUUGGGUUUAAAGGGUCCGUAGGCGGUUUAAUAAGUCAGUGGUGAAAUCUGGUCGCUCAACGAUCAAACGGCCAUUGAUACUGUUAGACUUGAAUUACAAGGAAGUAACUAGAAUAUGUAGUGUAGCGGUGAAAUGCUUAGAUAUUACAUGGAAUACCAAUUGCGAAGGCAGGUUACUACUUGUGGAUUGACGCUGAUGGACGAAAGCGUGGGGAGCGAACAGGAUUAGAUACCCUGGUAGUCCACGCCGUAAACGAUGGAUACUAGCUGUUGGGGGCAACUUCAGUGGCUAAGCGAAAGUGAUAAGUAUCCCACCUGGGGAGUACGUUCGCAAGAAUG